CGCGAGCCGUUCCCGCGCUUUCGCCACGCCCCGCCCAGCCUGAGGGGCAGGUGCGCGCCCCGGGCACCCCCCCGGCCCCUGCGUGAGGGGCGGCUGCGGAAACACCGGCGGGAGCGGGCCCCCGAGGGAGCUCUGCCGUCCCCUGAGGUGCUACGGGGAGAGACCCUGCUCCGGGAGGCACAGGGACACCUCCCGACACAGCCCCCCGAAACAACAGCGGCCCCGGUGCGGGCUGAGCCCGUCCCAGCGGCGGCCGCAGCUGAAGUGUGAAGAGCAUCGUGGGCAGUGUGAAGCGCGCCCGGGCUCCGCUCUGCUGUGGGACCCACCCAUACACCUGAUCCGGACAAGACCGUGGCGUUAUCACCUUUCUCCCUGGGUUCUGCCCCAAAACACCCACUUCCGUGAAUGCUCACAGCCCCUCAGGCAAAGAAGAGCGCCCCACCUGCGCUCUCAGCACCAAGGUCCAGGGGACCGGUGUCUCAUCAAGGCUUGUCUCAACAAGACAGCGACUGAAAAUCUCGACAUCUCAUCACAGGUUUUGAAGCCUGCUCAUCCUGACCAAGCCUUUCUGGAUCUCAUCAACAUGAAGGAACUCUCAUUAUGCCCUUCCAGGUGAUCUGUGCAAUACUUCCUGGAGUGACUUCCCUGUGAUGCCAACAGCUUUCCCUGGCACCCCAAGCAGAUUAAGUGGAGGACCACAGCAGUAAGUGCCUUCCCUCCAACCGGCUCCAAUGGAAUGGUUUUCCCAUAGGAAUUAACCUCAGAGGAAUCAGUCCCUCCAGCCAAACUUCCUCCUUUCCAGAGAAGCCAGAGGCUUGCAUGCUUUUUAAAAAAAAGAAAAAAAAAUCCCCAAAUCAAGGUAGUAUUUCAAGUCAGAUUAUGGUUCUCGCCAAAGAGCUGAAAGUUUAGCUGGAAUGAAUUAGCUAGGCUUUGCAGAAAGGAGGCUGUAAAGAAGGAGGUUUCAUUGCCUUCGGUGCUGCAUCCCACUGCCUUCAUCAGUGGUGGCGAAGGGGCAGUUCACAGGCAGGCAGAGACAGCUGAAAGAGGCAGCUGGGAAGCAGAGCCUUGAGAUGCAGGGUCUUCAGCCUCUUCCUUAGGGUUUUCCCUGGGAACACCACCUGGGUGAAGCCAGCAGGAGAGGCUGGGAUCCAGGCCAUGCCCUUGCCGAGCAGAUUAGCAGCAGUGCUUGCCACCUUGCCACCCCCAGGAAAGAAGCGUGAUCCCUGCCUGGCACAGAAAUGGAUCCAACGGGAGGCUGUGAGGCGAAACUCACUCAAAUAUUGAACUAGAAAAAUUUUGCUCAAUCUGCCUCUCAGUAAACAGUGACUAAUUGCUCUGGCUGGAGCUGCUGUACCUUCUAGAUUGGAAGGUGCAGAUGGAGCAACGAUAGUGAAGGCUCCUUACCUGACGCUGGCUGUACAUUAAUCACAAAUGUUUGCUAUGCAAAUCUUGUCAUACAAAGCAAUUAUUGCUGUUCUCGUACUGACCUCAUGUUUAUUUAUUACAUGAGCUCUUUAUUUGAACCUUGUCUGGUCUCUCUUCCCAUAUAAGCGUAUUAGUAUGUGGCUUCCAAAGGCACCCAGCUGAGAAAUUGUAGAUUUAUUUGUGGCGUGGAGGGAUGGCACACCACACGCUGACUGCAAUGCAGAGCUGAGAGGCUCAGCUCUUACACCAGUGGCUCUUCAUGCAAAAUACUGUCACCCCGAGGUCUCUUGCUGGGAUGAAGGACACUUUCUAACAGCACAGGGCCACGACUCCGGGUUCGCUCUGACGCUGCAGUAUUAACCGAUGGUUAAUGGAGACUGUCAGCCCGAGGAGCCGCGCAAUAAAACUCUGCUUGGGCUUCUUUAGGGCCCGCUCAGUAAAACUAAAAUUUUACACAGUGCUUCGUCCUUGGCUUUGUCACCUUUGCCUACCUCCAGAAUGGUGAGUUGCAAAUAGAUUUAACUGUGUCACCAAGUAAGUUGCAGGUGUGCUUUUGAAUGUGGUGGUGUUUGGAUAGCUGGAGUGAUGGGUGUCUUUAAGCACCAAAUAUUCUCUUGCCAAAGGAGUUUUCUCCAUGUGAUUUAAUGUUGGGCAACACUGGCAUCCGGUGGGCAGAGGCUUUUCUCCUUAACAGCUUGUGGCAGCUCACUCCCUUG